AGUGAACGCUGGCGGUAGGCCUAACACAUGCAAGUCGAACGGCAGCACAGGAGAGCUUGCUCUCUGGGUGGCGAGUGGCGGACGGGUGAGGAAUACAUCGGAAUCUACUUUUUCGUGGGGGAUAACGUAGGGAAACUUACGCUAAUACCGCAUACGACCUACGGGUGAAAGCAGGGGACCUUCGGGCCUUGCGCGAUUGAAUGAGCCGAUGUCGGAUUAGCUAGUUGGCGGGGUAAAGGCCCACCAAGGCGACGAUCCGUAGCUGGUCUGAGAGGAUGAUCAGCCACACUGGAACUGAGACACGGUCCGGACUCCUACGGGAGGCAGCAGUGGGGAAUAUUGGACAAUGGGCGCAAGCCUGACCCAGCCAUACCGCGUGGGUGAAGAAGGCCUUCGGGUUGUAAAGCCCUUUUGUUGGGAAAGAAAUCCAGCUGGCUAAUACCCGGUUGGGAUGACGGUACCCAAAGAAUAAGCACCGGCUAACUUCGUGCCAGCCGCCGCUGUAA
rnacentral:rRNA from 1 species